CCAUGCAAGUCGACGGCAGCACGGGCUUCGGCCUGGUGGCGAGUGGCGAACGGGUGAGUWAUACAUCGGAACGUGCCCUGUAGUGGGGGAUAACUAGUCGAAAGAUUAGCUAAUACCGCAUACGACCUGAGGGUGAAAGCGGGGGACCGUAAGGCCUCGCGCUACAGGAGCGGCCGAUGUCUGAUUAGCUAGWUGGKGGGGUAAGAGCCUACCAAGGCGACGAUCASUAGCUGGKCUGAGAGGACGAUCAGCCACACUGGGACUGAGACACGGCCCAGACUCCUACGGGAGGCAGCAGUGGGGAAUUUUGGACAAUGGGGGCAACCCUGAUCCAGCAAUGCCGCGUGUGUGAAGAAGGCCUUCGGGUUGUAAAGCACUUUUGUCCGGAAAGAAAUCGCGCUGGUUAAUACCUGGSGUGGAUGACGGUACCGGAAGAAUAAGCACCGGCUAACUACGUGCCAGCAGCCGCGGUAAUACGUAGGGYGCGAGCGUUAAUCGGAAUUACUGGGCGUAAAGCGUGCGCAGGCGGUUUGAUAAGACAGGCGUGAAAUCCCCG
rnacentral:rRNA from 1 species